CAGUGCUACAGCUCUUUUAGAAUUUGUCUGUCAGGUUUUCCAGUUUUCAUCGGAAACCCCCU
rnacentral:snRNA from 1 species